UUCCGGUUGAUCCCGCCGGACCUGACUGCUAUCGGAUUGAUACUAAGCCAUGCUAGUCUUUGUAGUAAUACAAGGCAUACGGCUCAGUAACGCGUAGUCAACCUACCCUAUGGACGGGGAUAAUCUCGGGAAACUGAGCAUAAUACCCGGUAGACCACUUAUCCUGGAAUGGUUAGUGGUUAAAAUGAUUCGUCGCCAUAGGAUGGGACUGCGGCCUAUCAGCUUGUUGGUGAGGUAAUGGCCCACCAAGGCGAUUACAGGUACGGGCUCUGAGAGGAGAGGCCCGGAGAUGGGUACUGAGACAAGGACCCAGGCCCUAUGGGGCGCAGCAGGCGAGAAAACUUUGCAAUGUGCGAAAGCACGACAAGGUUAAUCCGAGUGAUUUCUGCUAAAGGAAUCUUUUGUUAGUUCUAAAAAUACUAGUGAAUAAGGGGUGGGCAAGUUCUGGUGUCAGCCGCCGCGGUAAAACCAGCACCUCAAGUGGUCAGGAGGAUUAUUGGGCCUAAAGCAUCCGUAGCCUGUUCUAUAAGUUUGCGGUUAAAUCUAUACGCUCAACGUAUAGGCUGCCGUAAAUACUGUAGAACUAGGGAGUGGGAGAGGUAGACGGUACUCAGUAGGAAGGGGUAAAAUCCUUUGAUCUAUUGAUGACCACCUGUGGCGAAGGCGGUCUACCAGAACACGUUCGACGGUGAGGGAUGAAAGCUGGGGGAGCAAACCGGAUUAGAUACCCGGGUAGUCCCAGCUGUAAACGAUGCAGACUCGAUGAUGCAAUGGCAUAGAGCUAUUGCAGUAUCGCAGGGAAGCCGUUAAGUCUGCCGCCUGGGAAGUACGUACGCAAGUAUGAAACUUAAAGGAAUUGGCGGGGGAGCACCACAAGGGGUGAAGCCUGCGGUUCAAUUGGAUUCAACGCCGGG
rnacentral:rRNA from 1 species